CGUCAAAGCAUCCAAUAGACCCCAAACGCUAUUUCUGUCUGACUCGUGGAAGCUAAGAGAGAGAGACGUAUACAGGAAGAGAGAGGGAGUGGGGGAGAGGGAGAGAGGAGAGAGAGGGGGCUCUGCUGCCACACAGCCUCUGCUGCUAGAAUUGUUUAUAGGGGUCUUGUUUCUCCACUGAUGUGCCUAAGGCAAGUUUGCGUUACCCAUCAUAAACUCAGAUCUAAUGCCAUCCCUAAAAAUGAAGAGCAAAGUGAGCACAAUCUGUUUAAAGGAAAGAAAGGAUCUUCCUGUCUCUCCAAAAUCAAAUGUAAUUUCCAAAAAGUCGUGCUCUAAGAUCACAAUUUCUGCUCAAGUGGCUGAAACAGACACUGCUUUUCACGAUUGCCAGGAUGUUACAUCAAAGACGGAGGUCUCCCCAAAAGACAUUGAAGGUGCUGUAUCCCUUGACAACAAGGAGCAUAUGGAUAAAGAAGAUUCCAAUCUCCAUCCCCAGCAAUCAUUUUCUGCUGGUUCCCCUCCACUGGGAAGAAUGGAAUCAAAUGGCUCAUGUACAGCAAACUUGGAAACGAUUUUUUCUCCUGCUUUUGAGCCCAUUGAAGCUCAUUCUGAACACUAUGCUGACAAUGAUGCUGUUGGGAGCAUUGGUUAUAGUGACAUGAGAGGAUUGGGAGCUGAUGGGAAUGAAGAUGGAAGAAUUGAAUGUGUCUAUGAAACGUGUGAUGUGUCUGACUUCUACAUUUCUGACAUGAUCAUGACAAGCUUACCCAUGGAUGGAGAUGCCUUUGCUGGAGAUAUCAGUGAGACUGGCUGCAUAUCUGAUUAUAAAUCUGCUGAAUCAACCAUGUUUGAUGCUGCUGACCAGUACAUGGUCCUGCCUGCUCUAGAAGAUGAUGCUAAAAUUGACAGUACUUCUAAUAUCAGAUCAUGUGAAGAAGUCAUAAGGGUUCAAGAAAAUGUCAGCCUCUAUUCAGCAAUAGGGCAGAUAAGAUCCUGCAACCAGGGUUCUAAUCUUAUAAUUGAGUCUGAUAAGGCUGAGUGCUUUGAUCCACAGUCGUUUAUCAAGAAUCUACCAGAACUCUCUGACAUAGAAUCAGAUAAUCAACUUGCUGUAACAUCAAAGGCAUCUCAGAGAAGAAAAUCAGUAACCCUUGUUCUUGAUCUAGAUGAGACUCUUGUUCAUUCUACGUUGGAACAUUGUGAUAAUGCGGAUUUCACUUUUCCUGUAUUCUUCAAUAUGAAAGAUUACACAGUAUAUGUAAGAAAGAGGCCAUACCUCCACACUUUCUUGGAAAGGGUAGCAGAGAUGUUUGAAGUAGUUAUUUUUACUGCCAGUCAAAGCAUUUAUGCGAAACAACUACUUGAUGUAUUGGAUCCUGAUGGGAAACUUAUUUCUCGCCGAAUAUACCGUGAAUCUUGCAUUUUUUCAGAUGGUAAUUACACAAAAGAUCUGACAAUAUUAGGUGUUGAUCUUGCAAAAGUUGCCAUAGUUGAUAAUUCCCCUCAGGUUUUCCGCUUGCAAGUGAAUAAUGGAAUUCCAAUAAAGAGUUGGUUUGAUGAUCCAUCAGAUUGUGCGCUGAUGUCAUUACUUCCCUUCCUAGAGAUACUGGCUGAUGCAGAUGAUGUCCGUCCAAUUAUUGCUGAGAAAUUUGGUAACAAAGAAUAAGGUUUCUUGCUGGAGCAAAAUUUGCAGCCUCUCCUUUUUCUAAUAAUAUUCCAAUGAAAAUUUGUCCUCUAAUUAGAAGAAAAGGUAUCCUUUCUGCUUUAGCUCUUGAGGUAUUAACUAUAAUAAACUAUCAGUUUUCUUAUUGUUGAGUCCAAAUGUGGUUCCGUUUUCCUCUCAGUUGACGGCUCUGUGGAGUGCUUUGUUUCUCUUAAAAGUCAUGCAUCCAAGGGGCCUUUCCUUUUCACUUUGGUCGAGGAAUGCGUCCUAUUUCAACCGGCAGAGUGGCACAAAGAGUCAUUACUGAAGUUGGCUUGGUGAGAUGACACCCGUCUCCUAUUCUGUAUUGACAUCCAAGGAAACCAUGUCAGCAUUUGUGAGAAAUGAAUUUCCAUUUAUCAUUCUUACACCUGUUCUCUUCUGCUUCCUUGGGUGAUUUGAACUUUGUGGUUACCUUUGUUUUUGUUUUUAUAAUUCUAUUGUAAGAGUGCAAUCUGAUACUGGAAUACUGGCAUAAAAACAUGUGAAAAAUGAAGAACGUGCAUGUUCAGAGGCUAUUCAUGUUGAAUUUUACAUCUGUAAUGCUCAAACAUAUUGCCACUGAAUGUCAAAUAGAUCAUCAGACCAGUCAUCAUUAGUUUUGUUGUAAAUUUGGGAACGAGUCAGUUUUGAGUUGGGAGUCGUCAAAACAUUAAAUUCAAUUGCUUGUCAAGGCUUGAGAGGUAAUAGACGUAGCUUGUUUUCCAAUUGUUUGGUCUCACUAGCUUUUUUAGCCUUUCCUUAAAGAUCGUCCUAUUUCAGUUCUGGUUAUAUAUUUCUUACAGUGAAUUCUAGGCUUCCAAAUGGCCUAAUGACGCUGCUUUCCUUCUCUGGGUUUUCUCCACGUACUUGUUGACCUUGUUAACUAGGUUUAUCUUGUCUGCUUUUUUCUGUGAUACAUGCCUGCGAUUGGGUUUGUAUGAAUCAGGACUUUGUUGUAAGAGGGCAAAAGGAAGGUUCAUAUAGGUAGAAACAAUGUUGUCACAAGCGUCUUAAAAUAUUUAUGCAUUUGACUGUGCUGCUAUACGCUAUAGUGGCAAUUACCUUAAUAAUCAUUAAAGGUAGUGAUCAGGACUGCCAUUUGCUGGUGUUUACAAGAGAGAUCAAAUUUUGAGUGAAUUUACUGGUUAGAAACAGGUUUGGUUCAAUGGUUUAAAAUUGAAUAAUCUACUCCCAUAUAUGUAGUAAAGGCUAGGCUGACAGUUGGAGGUUUAGAGAAAGCAAUAUCACCACUGAGAUAGUAUAGGCGUCAGAAUUUUUUAAAAACAUGGUACCUCCUUCACCAGAAUCUCCAUACAACUCUUGGUUUUUGGGCGAAUCAGGGGGAUUAAAUUAACACGAAAGAAGUAAAUGGAUUGGUAAGUACCUAAUUAGUUGUUCUUCAACACUAUAUGCUCUUGCCAUCUAGCGUCCUUAUGAUGCCAUUCCUUCUGGGAUGCAACUGAGAAAGUUGUGUAGGGGAUCAUUUAAACUACUCAAACUCUCUUUUUCUUUAGAUUCAAAAUUGAUGGAUUUGAUUUUUUUUCAAUAUCUGAUUACCACUUAUUUUAUGAUGUCUGCUAUUAGCAGUCUGCGUAUAAUUUCAUAAUUUUGCAUCCAUUCUCUGCAGGUCUCUGAAGGAAAAUUAAUAUAAUAUAACCUUAAUGGCAAUCUUUUAGGUACGUAAAUUUUGUUUAUAUCUUACUGGUUAGAAGCUACGCAUGUAUAGUUAUUAUUGUCGCGGGACAGAUUUUUAGUGCAAUUUAUUGAUACUGAUAUUUUUCAGUUCAAUGUUGUAUGAUUUGAUGUUUUCAGAGGUUUGUUAAUAUUUUAAAUUUUUAUUAGAGAAUCUAAACGAACAUGUGAGAAAAUUUUCCCAAGUUUUCUUCUUUUUCUUUUUCUUUUCCUUGCCAAGGUGGCGGGGGACCCUUGUAAAAUAUAAUCUAAGAUGUUAAAUUUGGUCAUUUUAUUGUCCUUUUGUUUAUUGUUCAGGGGUAAAUUGUCUUAAAUGGAUCUUCAAGGUUAAUGAAUUGUGUGAUACCUAUAUUUCCUCUUUA